UACGAAGGGGGCUAGCGUUGUUCGGAUUUACUGGGCGUAAAGCGCACGUAGGCGGAUCGAUCAGUCAGGGGUGAAAUCCCAGAGCUCAACUCUGGAACUGCCUUUGAUACUGUCGAUCUGGAGUAUGGGAAGAGGUGAGUGGAAUUCCGAGUGUAGAGGUGAAAUUCGUAGAUAUUCGGAGGAACACCAGUGGCGAAGGCGGCUCACUGGUCCAUUACUGACGCUGAGGUGCGAAAGCGUGGGGAGCAAACAGG
rnacentral:rRNA from 1 species